rnacentral:misc_RNA from 1 species
UGGAAAUCACCUUGGACAUCAGCA